ACUUGGUUUCCACGCAAUGGUAGGCUGUGAACCCCACCAGAUCCGGAAGGAAGCAACGGUAACAGUUGAUCCAUGUGCCGUGUUAAGGCUAAGUUAG
rnacentral:SRP_RNA from 1 species